UGUCAAGUGGAACACGAUCCUUGCAUCCGCCUUCCACUGCCGAUGAUUCUACAAAGCAGCGUGUAUCAACUGCAGCUAUCGUUGGCAUUGCUAGUGUAGUAAGCGUCGUGACAGUGGCAUGUGCCAUCCUUCUCACCUUCAAGAUGAAGAAGGUUCACAGGACACUGCCUGUGGACACUCCUGUCACUGUCCCCGUGGAUAUCCUGCCCCCCAACACCACCGAGGAGGAAGGUGGUGAUGACCAACAGGCUGCAGCCCAGCCAGACACGACCACAACAACAAUUGCAGUCAGCCAACGGGUACCGCAAAGGUCAACGACUAAAUGCAAGGUGGCGCGACCAUUUGUAGUUGUUGCACCCGCAACGAAAUCCCAUGUAUACUCAAUUGAAGAAGUAUCUUCUUCCGGGGAGAUUGACCUGCUGACGUAGUUAUAGCCCCGGGCAAGCCUAUCUGAAACUAUGCCACGGUUCUGCCAGCUGACGCGCUCGGGUGUGUCUGUCACUAUCGGCCCUCACACGCAUGCACAACCACACAUGCACACCCACACAGGCACAUCCACGCAUGCACAGCAUAGUGGACUUCGUAAAAAAUAAAAAAUAAAUAAAAAUAAAAAUCCGCGCAUGCACAUCCACACGUGCACAUCCACACAUGCACAUCCACGCAUGUACAUCCACAUCCACGCAUGCACACCCACACAUGCGCUCCCAUGCAUGCCCAUCCACGCAUGCGCUCCCAUGCAUGCACACCCACACAUGCACACCCACGCAUGCACAUCCACGCAUGCACAUCUACACAUGCACAUCCACACAUGCACAUCCACGCAUGUACAUCCACAUCCACGCAUGCACACCCACACAUGCGCUCCCAUGCAUGCACACCAUCGCAUGUACACCCACUGCCACUCAACCACAUACACAUGCGUUCCCGCUCACACACACACACACACACACACACACACACACACAGGCGCGCGCGCGCAUGUGUUCGCACUAACACAUACACACACCUGCUUACCAACACCCUUUCACAAUGCUUUCCUGUCCACUCUGUUUUUUCUGCGUGCAGUCCUCCCCAAUGUUGUUGUGUAUAUUUUGAGCAUCGCAGGAUGUGAUUGCAUGUCCUAUGUUUUUGUAUUUUAGCUCUUUCUGUUUUUUUCCUUUACACUUGUAGAGAUAGUAUCCCUAGUUUCUUGGUGGAAGUUGCCUGAGCUAGUUUAGCAAGCUGUAUGCUUCCUUUAAAAUAUACAUAACUGUAUGGUAUGUACUCACACUAUGUUUUGUGGCCGAUUUUGACCAGUCCCCAGUUUCGGUUCCCUUUCGCCUCGAGCAGCACUCCCUUUUUCUUUUCUUUUUAGUGAUUGACUUUGAAUUGAUCUGCUGUGACUAUGAUACUACGAGGAAAGUUGCUGUUUCUUCUAUUCGGUGCAUUGCCCUUUCUUGCCUGCUUCAGCGCUAGCAAGGCGCAGUGCAUUUGUUGCAAAUAUGUCAUCAGAUUUCCAAAUUAUAUCUUUUGUGAGUUUUAAAUGAAAUUUUGAAUUUGAA